rnacentral:rRNA from 1 species
UACAGAGGGUGCAAGCGUUGCUCGGAAUCAUUGGGCGUAAAGGGCACGUAGGUGGUCUCAUUUGUCUUGUGUGAAAUCCUUGGGCUUAACUCAAGAAGUGCGCAAGAAACGGUGAGACUCGAGUUCUGGAGAGGGUCGUGGAAUUCCCGGUGUAGCGGUGAAAUGCGCAGAUAUCGGGAGGAACACCUAUGGCGAAGGCAGCUUGCUGGGACGGAACUGACGCUGAGACGCGAAAGCGUGGGGAGCAAACAGG